AAUCUUCUCAGGCUGGCUGGCCCCCAGGCUGGACUGGGCAAGUAUCUCCUAAAAAGGCUCACCUUCAGGAACGACUAGGAGC
rnacentral:pre_miRNA from 1 species